rnacentral:rRNA from 1 species
UACGAAGGGGUCGAGCGUUGUUCGGAAUUACUGGGCGUAAAGGGUUCGUAGGUGGCCAACUAAGUCGGACGUGAAAUCCCCAGGCUCAACUUGGGAACUGCGUCUGAUACUGGAUGGCUUGAAUUCGGGAGAGGGAUGCAGAAUUCCAGGUGUAGCGGUGAAAUGCGUAGAUAUCGGGAGGAACACCGGUGGCGAAGGCGGUUCUCUGGGCCGGUACUGACGCUGAGACGCGAAAGCGUGGGGAGCGAACAGG